rnacentral:rRNA from 1 species
UACGUAGGGUGCAAGCGUUAAUCGGAAUUACUGGGCGUAAAGCGUGCGCAGGCGGUGAUGUAAGACAGGUGUGAAAUCCCCGGGCUUAACCUGGGAACUGCAUUUGUGACUGCAUCGCUGGAGUGCGGCAGAGGGGGAUGAAAUUCCGCGUGUAGCAGUGAAAUGCGUAGAUAUGCGGAGGAACACCGAUGGCGAAGGCAAUCCCCUGGGCCUGCACUGACGCUCAUGCACGAAAGCGUGGGGAGCAAACAGG